UCUCCAGCAUCACCUUUGUAUCCUCCAUAAGGACUCACAAGAGGAGCUAUUCCAACAAUUGGUGCACCUCCAGUGGGACCUAUUAAUGAACCUGUAGCAGAGUACACAUUGGGGACAGCAGAUAAAAGCAAGUGCUGAGAACGUGCUGGAUUCUCAUGAAGGCGAGAGGCGAUCUGAUAUAAAGCCUUUUUGACAAUUGUAGGUUCACCAGAAAUCUGUACAAGCUCAUCCGUGCUCAACGCACAAGAAGGCAGAUGUUCAUCCUUGAGAAUGCGAAUCUGUGCACCUGUCUCACUCCGAAUGUUCUGAACUAUUUGCCCACCUUUCCCAAUAAUACAACCUAUCUGAUCAGAUGGUACAAGAAGCCUAGCAGUGACUUGAUGACCUCCUUCAGAGUCAUCAUCAUGCAAGUCUUCUGCAAUAACUUUAUCAUGCACUCUGAACAGAGCAUCCUGAGCAGGACAAAUAUAAUUACCACUAUCUUCAUAGGCAUUAGUCUCAUCACUGGCACUAUAGAUGGUAACAACACGGUCUUCACAACCAGGAACUGUCUCACCAAUCCUAAUCUUUGACUUUGUAUCUAUCCGUAACUGCUUAACAAUGUCACCUCCCCUUCCAAUGAUACUUCCAAUCUUCUUAACAGGACACAAGUAGCGAUAUACAGUAUCUUGUGAAUCAAUGGCAAAAUGGUCUCUAUCAUCACCAGAAUUUCUUCUUUUAUUUGACCCAUUAUCAUAGUCAGACUGAGAAUGAGACCGCUUUCCAUAGCUGUUCUUCUGACCAGCCAUUAUGGUCGAUGAACCAAUUUCCUUGAAUUGGAUUGUUUAGACAGAUAAUUAGAGGAAGAGAUGAAGAAUGUUGUUUGAGAUUUGGGGAAAAUCUCCUUCCUUUUGCCUGGUCUUCUCUGUUUGAGAGUGUCUUUUUCUGAUU
rnacentral:misc_RNA from 1 species